rnacentral:rRNA from 1 species
AUUGAACGCUGGCGGCAUGCCUUACACAUGCAAGUCGAACGGCAGCAUGGGUGCUUGCACCUGAUGGCGAGUGGCGAACGGGUGAGUAAUGCAUCGGAACGUACCCGGAAGUGGGGGAUAACGUAGCGAAAGUUACGCUAAUACCGCAUAUUCUGUGAGCAGGAAAGCGGGGGAUCGCAAGACCUCGCGCUUCCGGAGCGGCCGAUGUCGGAUUAGCUAGUUGGCGGGGUAAAGGCCCACCAAGGCAACGAUCCGUAGCGGGUCUGAGAGGAUGAUCCGCCACACUGGGACUGAGACACGGCCCAGACUCCUACGGGAGGCAGCAGUGGGGAAUUUUGGACAAUGGGGGCAACCCUGAUCCAGCCAUGCCGCGUGAGUGAAGAAGGCCUUCGGGUUGUAAAGCUCUUUCGGCUGGGAAGAAAUCGCAUCUCCUAAUACGGGGUGUGGAUGACGGUACCAGCAUAAGAAGCACCGGCUAACUACGUGCCAGCCGCCGCCGUAA